rnacentral:rRNA from 1 species
GAUGAACGCUGGCGGCGCGCCUAACACAUGCCAGUCGAACGGUUAAAGCACCUUUUAGGUGUGUAUAAAGUGGCGAACGGCUGAGUAACACGUGGGCAACCUGCCCUCCUCUUGGGGAUAGCCUCGGGAAACCGAGGAUAAUACCCGAUACUUCAAUGUGGCCGCAUGACGACAUUGAGAAAGCUUUUGCGGAGAAGGAUGGGCCCGCGGCCUGUUAGCUUGUUGGUGGGGUAGAGGCCUACCAAGGCAAUGAUGGGUAGCUGGGUUGAGAGACCGACCAGCCAGAUUGGGACUGAGACACGGCCCAGACUCCUACGGGAGGCAGCAGUGGGGAAUCUUGCACAAUGGGCGAAAGCCUGAUGCAGCGACGCCGCGUGCGGGACGAAGGCCUUCGGGUUGUAAACCGCUUUCAGCAGGGACGAGGCGAUAAGUGACGGUACCUGCAGAAGAAGCCCCGGCUAACUACGUG